CAUCUCACCAAGAAAGGAGAAGAGAGAGUUAGAGGGUCUCACAGUGACUUUUAAUUUCUUCAGCCUGUCACAUUUCAAAGGCCAGAUCUUUCCCAGGGCUUAAGCUGUUCCUUGGAUACUUUUGCUGAUGGUUUACACAUCUUCUUCCCACAUUAUAUUGUAACUUUCUUACGAGCAGGACCUACUUCUGAUCCAGUUCUAUUGUAAAACCGAAGCUGGGUCUCAGUAUAUUGCCCAGUCUGGUCUCAAACUCCUGGCCUCAAGCAAUUCUCCCACCUCGGCCUCC
rnacentral:lncRNA from 10 species